AACCUAGCACACCUGCGGUGUGUACCUGCGGAAGGAUCAUUACCGAGUUUACAACUCCCAAACCCCUGUGAACAUACCUAUAUGUUGCCUCGGCGGAUCAGCCCGCGCCCCGUAAAACGGGACGGCCCGCCGCAGGAUCCACAAACUCUGUUUUUAUUGUAACUUCUGAGUAACAAAACAAAUAAAUCAAAACUUUCAACAAUGGAUCU
rnacentral:misc_RNA from 1 species